UGAACACAUAACUUUCAUACUGAAACAUCUUCUAUGUUGAAAGGGGAGGUUUUCUAGGAAAAUGUUAGACUUCAUUUUGAAACAAAUGGAGUGGGGACAUGGCAGCAGUAAUUGAAAUAGAAAUUCUUCAAUUAUCCUCCUCCAGAUUCUGUAGACCUCCUUUUCCCUCAAAGGAUCACAUACGAAUUUCAUGCAACCUCUGGCAAUAUUCUGGCUGGAGACAAGUGUCUGUCAUGGGCGACAAGAAUGUAAUCUCUAAAUAAUUCCAUCCUGGGCCUCAACAGAGAAGAGUGUUUCCAUGUGGUCGCCUUUCCGACGGACUAGAUGAGCAGAGACCACCAAGCACAUUUCAAGAAGGACAUUAGAUGCCCCUAGGGC
rnacentral:lncRNA from 1 species